AGAGUUUGAUUCUGGCUCAGGAUGAACGCUAGCUACAGGCUUAACACAUGCAAGUCGAGGGGCAUCAUUGGGAUAGCUUGCUAUUCAGAUGGCGACCGGCGCACGGGUGAGUAACGCGUAUCCAACCUUCCCCUUAGUAGGGCAUAGCCCGGCGAAAGUCGGAUUAAUACCCUAUGUUGUAUAUUGAGGACAUCUGAUUUAUACCAAAGAUUCAUCGCUAAGGGAUGGGGAUGCGUCCGAUUAGGUAGUCGGCGGGGCAACGGCCCACCGAGCCGUCGAUCGGUAGGGGUUCUGAGAGGAAGGUCCCCCACACUGGUACUGAGACACGGACCAGACUCCUACGGGAGGCAGCAGUGAGGAAUAUUGGUCAAUGGGCGAGAGCCUGAACCAGCCAAGUAGCGUGCAGGAAGACGGCCCUAUGGGUUGUAAACUGCUUUUAUCAGGGGAUAAAGUGAGGGACGUGUCCCUUAUUGCAGGUACCUGAUGAAUAAGGACCGGCUAAUUCCGUGCCAGCCGCCGC
rnacentral:rRNA from 1 species